UACGGAGGGGGCAAGCGUUAUUCGGAAUUAUUGGGCGUAAAGGGCGCGUAGGCGGCUUGGCAAGUGGAUGGUGAAAUCCCUCGGCUUAACCGAGGAACUGCCGUCCAAACUGCUUCGCUUGAGACCGGGAGAGGUGAGUGGAAUUCCCAGUGUAGCGGUGAAAUGCGUAGAUAUUGGGAGGAGCACCAGUGGCGAAGGCGGCUCACUGGACCGGUACUGACGCUGAUGCGCGAAAGCGUGGGGAGCGAACAGG
rnacentral:rRNA from 1 species